rnacentral:rRNA from 1 species
AGAGUUUGAUCCUGGCUCAGAGCGAACGCUGGCGGCAGGCCUAACACAUGCAAGUCGAACGCCCCUUCGGGGGAGUGGCGGACGGGUGAGUAACGCGUGGGAACGUGCCCUUUGGUGCGGAACAACUGAGGGAAACUUCAGCUAAUACCGCAUAAGCCCUACGGGGGAAAGAUUUAUCGCCAUUGGAGCGGCCCGCGUUGGAUUAGGUAGUUGGUGGGGUAAUGGCCCACCAAGCCUACGAUCCAUAGCUGGUCUGAGAGGAUGAUCAGCCACACUGGGACUGAGACACGGCCCAGACUCCUACGGGAGGCAGCAGUGGGGAAUCUUGCGCAAUGGGCGAAAGCCUGACGCAGCCAUGCCGCGUGUAUGAUGAAGGUCUUAGGAUUGUAAAAUACUUUCACCGGGGAAGAUAAUGACGGUACCCGGAGAAGAAGCCCCGGCUAACUUCGUGCCAGCAGCCGCGGUAAUAC